CUAGCGAGUUUUUCGUCUUGCGAGGCAUUCGUCUUGCGGGGCACCACUGUAAAACUACAGGGACUGGUGAAAAUAGCAUGCGAAAAGGCAUUAUAUUGGGGAAAUUGCUUUCAAAUAUAUACAGUGGUACUUCCAAUUGCAGACAGGAUCUGUUCCAGAGGUCUGUCUGGAUCCUGAGAUUUCCACAACCUGAGGACCGCUUCUGCACAUGCGCACAUGGCGAAACCCGGUCAAAUACUUCUGGGUUUGCCACUUUCGCAUCCUGAAGUUUACGUAACCAGAAGGUUACGUAACCGGAGGUACUGCUGUAUAUACUGUAUAUACAUUAGGCAAGAUUGGAUAUGAAAAGGUGCAUAUUCGGCGGAACAUUGGCCUUAGAUGCUGCCAUACAUGCACAGAGAGGGUACCCACUGAAGAGGAAAACCAUGGGAGUUGUAUGGCAUCCAUAUCAAAUUCAGAGAAGAUCCAAACUCUAGAGACCUAUAUGAAAUGGAUCUCCGAGCUGGUUCUUCAGAUCAAGCAACUGCCUGUGUCUACAUGCAUGCACAUCAUUUUUAAUUCAUAAGCAAUUCCGCAAAAUUGCCAGUUGCUUUUCGGAGAUCCUAAAAGGACCCACUGCAGCCUGGUGUCAAGAUAUGAGCCGGUGUUCUAGUGACACUUCUGUUCCAUUGUCAAGUCCCAGAAAUAAUUUUGAAUGCACCAGAAUGCUGAGUGUAAUUAAUGUGAUUGUUAUUCUCAGAAGGCAACACUUGCACAUACUGGGUUAUACCAAAGCAUCACUUCACACAAAUUCAUUGUGGAAUUACUGAGGAAUCUAACCAUUACAAUUUGCAUGAAUAGGGGUGUCCCAGAGGAAGCAUUGUUUCCAGAUAUAUUCCACACACACCCUUGCACCCCAUUUUGUGCCCAGCUGGAAGUAUAAGUGGUUAACGCAUUGGUAGGAAAACUAAGACCCGGGGGCCAGAUACGGCCCAAUCGCCUUCUAAAUCCAGCCCACGGACGGUCUGGGAAUCAGCGUGUUUUUACAUGACUAGAAUGUGUCCAUUUAAAAUGCAUCUCUGGGUUAUUUGUGAGGCAUAGGAAUUCGUUCAUUUUUUUCUCCAAAAUAUAGUCUGGCCCCCCACAAGGUCUGAGGGACAGUGGACUGCUCUCUGCUGAAAAAGUUUUUUGACCCCUGGGUUAACUCAUAAUCACAUCCCAGAAGUCUGUAUAUGGGAGUGAGUUUUCACCAUUUAGGGAAGUAUUGACCCUGGUGAAGCCAAAUAAUAACACUGGUGGUUUAGCAGCUAAAAUUUCUGCUACAUAAUUCUGCUCUACAAACAUUUCAUUUGCAUCUUUUGUGCAGAGGUUUUAAAUACAGCAGACAAAGCCAAUCAAACCAACUUUUGAAAAACAACAACGAAGAACAAUAUUUGCAUUAACUCCAAAUGACAGUCUCUAUUUUACAGCUUAUAUUUUGUACAGUCAUACGAAACAUUCAUCCUAGCAACUAAAAGUUUAUGUUUAAUGAACACCAUUAUACAGAUAUAUUAAUUCUAAUACAUCGAUGCUGUAGUAAUAAAGGCUACGCUUUCAAACAUGAUUUCAAAUUUACCCAAGAUAAAUCCAUUAGUUUAUUCAGCAAUUAUUACUUAAUUGACUUUUAGCCACAGUUUAAUUGAUAACCACAUAAAAGCCAUUUUCCAUUAAACCAUUUUCAAAAGAAAAUUGAAAGGCAUCUCCAAUUUCUUCUUGUAAUGUGGUGUGGGGUUUUUUGGGGGGGGGAGGGUUUAAAGCAGAAAAUGAAUCACUGCUCUUCUUUAACAUUAAUUGGUCACAACAAUCACCCAGAAAUAAGUAAACAUUGCUUGGUGGAUAUUCACCUUAAUUUAGGGAAAGGCCUGUGACUCGCUGGUACAGCAGAUUCCUUGCAUGCAGAAGGUCCCAGAUUCGUCCCCUGGCAUCUUCAGAUAUAACCAGGUAAGGCUGCCUGAACACCUAAAGAGCUGUUCACAGUCAGACAAAUUUGAACUAGGUGUAUCAACAGUCUGAGCUGGGAUAAGGCAUCCUCCAUCUUCCAUCCAACUUCCAUCUUCCUUUCCUCUCUAAAAGCUUCUGGAUAGAAAUUGCAAGUGAAACAAAAGCCAGCGUUUCAGGUGCAUGAAGCUCCAUUUUGAAUUGUGUCUCAUGGCCCCAUUUCACAGGUCCUGGUGCAACUUUGACAGCAGCAAUCACCUGCUGGAGGCAGGAAAAUUCCACACGGCCGCGGAUUGUUCUCACUGAAGGGAGUUUAAACAAACCACAGUUCCUUUCAUUUGGAGGAAGCAUGGUAAGUUUCAGUUUAGAAGAGGAAGCUUUCGAGUUUCUUCCCGUGGCUGAAAAAGAACAAUGGUGAAGAACAAAGGCUCAUCAUAGCUCUUUUUCAAAGAAGGAAACCAUGGCGAGAUGUGCGUGGAUGUAAAGUAUUCCCAGAAUAUUGUGCCUGUUUGCAUUUCUUCUGAUGCCCUGUUUAAACACUCGGCCUGAACCUAUGACCGGGGAGGGGAGAGUGCUUGGGAGCCAAUGCACUCUAUAUGGGGCUACCUUUGAAGGUAACCCGGAAACUACAACUAAUUCAGAAUAAAGCAGCUACACUGGUGCCUGGGAGUGGCCGCCGAGUCCAUAUAACACCAGUCCUGAAAGACCUCCAUUGGCUCCCAGUACGUUUCCGAGCACAAUUCAAAGUGUUGGUGCUGACCUUGAAAGCCCUAAAUGGCCUCGGCUCUGUAUACCUGAAGGAGCGUCUCCACCCCCAUCGUUCUGCCUAGACACUGAGGUCCAGCUUUGAAGGCCUUCUGGCAGUUCCCUGACUGCGAGAAGCAAUGUUACAAGGAACCAGGCAGAGGGCCUUCUCGGUCGUGGCGCCCGCCCUGUGGAACGCCCUCCCAUCAGAUGUCAAGGAAAUAAACAACCAUCUGACUUUUAGAAGACAUCUGAAGGCAACCCUGUUUAGGGAAGUUUUUAAUGUUUGAUGUUUUAGUCUGUUUUUAAUGUUCUGUUGAAAGCCGCCCAGAGUGGCUGGGGGAAACCCAGUCUGAAGGGCAGCUUAUUAUUAUUAUUAUUAUUAUUAUUAUUAUAAAAGGCACCCACAGUGCCUUGCCCGCAAUGUUCCCAGAUGUGCUGCAUACAAACACUCCACCCCAACUUCGUCUCAUUGAGCAACAAUGUCUCCAGGGACUUCUAGCCACAAUCAGAUGAACAGAAGCUUCCUGGCUGCAGAAAGGCUUCUAAACACAUUUAGCUAAGUGCCCUUAAAAGUCCCACCCCACUCCAGAACUUUCUGCUAAACCUGCAAAAUCUAGGAGAGGAAGAGCAAGCAUUCGAACCCUCAUUCCUCCUCGCCCAGCCCCUGGACACUUUUUGCCCUCAGACAAUCAGGCAGAACAUCUGAAGAGGGUUAGGCUUCCUAUGUGUUUGGCUAUCCCAUCUUUGAAACUUGCCAGCUAUUCUUUUAGUUCCACACUUCCUAUUGUUCACAUUCAAUGCUAGGGGGUGGGGAGGGGGGAGAACGGUGCAAAGAGAUUAUAUUGUAACCUUAAUUUGAAAGCAUAGAAAUGCAUUCUUCAGUAAGAAUUUUUCUCUCUCUCAAACCAAUUUGCUGUGGAAGACCUUUCCACAAAGACUGCAUUGUCUGUCUUGAUCUCUUUUUCUCUCACGCUCACAGACAUGUAAGUUUUAUAAUGUAAAUACUGUUUUUUUUUCCCUGCAAGGAACUGCCUGCUUCUAGAAAGUUCGCCAACAUUUUUCUUAAGCUGAUGAAGCUCAGCUUUAUGAAGCUUUACAUUUAUUUUAAAGUUGUCCAUUCACUUUGCUUGUAUUCAAAUCAAUCUGAGUGUUGGCCUUCUAUGAAUAUAAUUAAAUUGUAUAUGCAUUGUUAUACAUUGGCAGCAUACAUUAUAAUAAGCCACCAAAGUCCUUAAGACAGAAUGAAAAGUCCACAUACAAAAUAGUCUAUUUGUCCUAUUUGGUUAUAUUUCCCAAGAAAGACCAGAAUUUUCCAUGCCUUGCAUUUCCUUUUUAAUGCCAUGUUUUCCUUUAUGUUAUUAUGUUGGAUAACAUCUUUAUAUAUUCUUCAUGAUAGGAACUUCAGCUUUAUUUUAAAUAGGAAUAAAUUAGUGCAUUUAGUUAUGGCAUGGUAUGUUUUAUCAGCUACAAUCAAUCAAUCCGUCAUUACAGUUGCUCCAUGUCUUACAUGAAUCCUUAUCCUUUCUGCAGCAAUUCAAAAAGAACUUAAAACAUUUGCAAAUGGUAAAAUUCUUCAUGAACUAAUGGAGAUUUAAAUGACUUUUAUAACAAUACAGGCAUUUUUAAAAGCACACUAUAAAUACCUUCUAGUAUUUCUAACAUGUCAUUCAAUGUUCCGCUGACAAAUUAUGCUGAAAUAUGAAAACAGUUUAGCAAUAUAUUUACUCCAUAGAGUGUGCACACCUAUACUUCGUAAGAAACCAGAACUUCUAACUCAGGAAUCCACAAUGAUUUGGCAGGAAAAGAAAUAGGACCUUCAAGGGAUGUUAUCUUUGGUAAACCUUUGGGAAGGGGCAGUUUUUGUAUAACAACUUCUCCCUUCAAGGAAAUGCAUCAGUGAU
rnacentral:lncRNA from 1 species